rnacentral:lncRNA from 1 species
AAUUGCCGUAGAGGGCAGGAGGGAUGCAGCUGGCCACAACUUUCCCAAAACAAUGAAAGCUUUGGGACCGAGAGAUGGAUGUUGUGUUGCUUUUCAAAGGCUUCUUUGAUGGUCUUUUCAGCAAACAAGAAGAUGCUGAGAGGCAAGUGAUUUCUAGUGCUUCCUUAAUGACUGUGUUUAAUUUUCUUGCUUCCCAUGUAGUAAAAUCCGGUGAUGAAUCAUACAAAUGGAGGCACUUUGUAUCCUCUGCUUUCAAACUUGUAAGGACUUUGUCAGAAGAUGAGGAACCUCCCCAAACUCAGCUCCCAAUUGAUCUGCUCAUGGCUGCUGAUGGAGCUGUGUCAGAACCACCAGCGCCUGUUUGCAGCCCAGCGGUUGUAGGAGAGGCCCAGAUUGUCCCUGCCGUCCUGCAGAGCUCAGCAGCUGUGGCACUGUGUGCUCCAUAGUGGCAGUUGUGCCCAGAUUUCCUGCAGCUGAUGCAUCUUUAGCUGUGAGCACAACGAUGCUGUAGGACUGGAAGUGCAGCAGAAAUUGUCUUUCUCUUCUUGCUGCCUCUUCAUCAGCUUCUGCUCAGGAGCGGAGGGAAGCAGAAUGUGGCUCUUCAACAGUGGGCAAAGCUCUGCAGGCCAGUGAAGAAAAUGGCAAAGAAGAAGUCUGUGGGGAUUGUUCGUGGGGGAUAAAUGGGGACGAGUCCCAGAGAAUAACCUGGAAGCUGUCCUCUAUUUGUUUUCAAUUUGCUGACUUCCCAAACCAAUGUAGCCACUCAUCCAUGAAGCUAAACAGACUUUGCUAACGCUUUAUUUCUAGCAGAGCUGAGGGAAGGUUUUUUUUAAUCACUGUGUAAUGGCUGCCUGGUACAUAAGUGCUUUCUGACAUCUCUGCACUCCACGUGGAAAGGUGUAUGAGAUCUAAACUAAACCCGUUGCCUUAAAUGGAGAAAAUCCUGAUUUCUCCAGUAUUUGUAAAACAAAAGUUAAGCUCGGUAUUGUGACGGGAUACAAUCGGUGGUACUACCCGGAACUGGGAGGCAGCCCGCUGUGUGCGUUCACAGACUGCAUUUUCCCCCUUCACAGAAGCAGGGAAGGAGAACUGUAAUUACGAGUAACCUUCAGCUUAGGCAGACUGCUUAAAAUUGGAAACCUCCAAGAUUAUUAAUUUUACUGAUUUUUAUAUGGAUGUGAAUUAACCGUGUAAUUUCUUUUCUCUGUGUGUAUUUUCUAAAAUAAGUGAAAGAUAAGGCACUGUGU